rnacentral:rRNA from 1 species
UACGGGGGGGGCAAGCGUUGUUCGGAAUUACUGGGCGUAAAGGGCUCGUAGGUGGCCAACUAAGUCAGACGUGAAAUCCUUCGGCUUAACCGGGGAACUGCGUCUGAUACUGGAUGGCUUGAGUUCGGGAGAGGGAUGCGGAAUUCCAGGUGUAGCGGUGAAAUGCGCAGAUAUCGGGAGGAACACCAAUGGCGAAGGCAGCUCGCUGGGACGGUACUGACGCUGAGGCGCGAAAGCGUGGGGAGCAAACAGG